rnacentral:lncRNA from 1 species
AACCUAAGAUUAUCUUUCUUCGCUCUGAUGCAAACUGCGGCCAUGACUACCACUCCACAGGUAUACGUUCGGCUUGUCAACCACGUUCCUUAUCCUCCUGCUGCUCCUCGACAGAUCCACCAUGUUGAGUCCAUGGCGGCGUCCGCAUCGGCCACAGCAAUGACCACGGCUGCCUCCGCCGUCCCAUGGCCAAACACAUGUAAAUGCAGAACCUCAGACGAUUGGUUACCACUCUAUUUUGCGCAUGUAUUGCAUUCUUUGAUGAUCUGUUUCUUUUCGUCUUGGCUCAGUACAGCGCAGUAUUGGCGAUGUAAGUUUUGGCUUUCAAGCUCUGAGCUUGCUAUAUAGUGUGUUACUGAGACUGCUAGACUUUGCAUAGUUUGUAAUCUGUAGCUAACUGACGCGCGGUGAGUUGUGGAAUCUCU